UUUGAUGAUAUCUGGAAUGACUGAUAAGGGGCAUCCGAAUCAUCUCCAAUCCUGACAUUCGGCUUUAGUAUGUCUGAAAGCAGACCUACUGCCACGUUUGGGAAUUUCCAGGGCAGAUAACCUCUAAGGUCUAAGUCUGAAAUUGUCAUUUAUAUAAUAUUUGGGCUUGCUGAAAUUAAGAUUCAUCUAUAUUGGGAAUCGGCUUCUGUCCUUCCCUGCCAUAUUCCUUGUGAAUUGUGAAUUCCUGCACCUCAAAUACAUAACAUCUUUAUCUGAAGUCACCAGUGGUGUUCUAGGAACACAGCUUUGUUUACUUUCACCAAAGCAUUUCUCAUCUGAUAUGGUUUGGCUGUGUCUCCACCCAAAUCUCAUCUUGGAUUGUAGCUCCCGUAAUUUCCACGUAUUGUGGGAGGGACCUGGUGGGAGGUAAUUGAAUCAUUGGGGUGGUUUCCCCCAUACUAUUCUCAUGGUAGUGAAUAAAUCUCACAAGAUCUGAUGGCUCUAUAAGGGGAAACCCCUUUUGCUUUGUUUUCAUUCUCUCUCUUGCCUGCUGCCAUGUAAGACGUGCCUUUUGCCUUCCAACAUGAUUGUGAGGCCUCCCCAGCCACGCUAACUGUGAGUCCAUUAAACCUCUUUUUCUUUAUAAUUUA
rnacentral:lncRNA from 1 species